AAGAAUAUUUUUAGCUUUGACAUUAUCACUGUGUUUUCCCUUUUUCUUCUUACAAUGUUUACUUUUAUCUUUGUUGACUAAAGAAGCAGUGGAUACAUCAUCCUCAGAAGGAAUUACAAGAUCAACGUCUUCUUGAAAACCAAUGGCACCCAAACUCUCAGGGAGACUGGAUAUUUUCUGAGGUAAGGACGCAAUAGUUCUAAAACCAGGUGUCUCGAGAUCAUUUGACUGAGCUUUAGCAUCAAGAGGUGACAUUAAAACCAGUUCUAUACUAUUUUCAUUCAUAGCAGAUUCUUCGGCGACAGGUAUCACUUGCUCUUUUUUAAGAGGAAAUUCAGAAGUAGGUGUUUCUAAUUGCCUGCAAAUCUCUUUAUUGACCAUUUCUGAAACAGCAAGAGCAUUUUUAGUUUCAAGAGAAGAAACAGUUAUUGCGUCGGAUUUGUUUUUCAUGGGAAUAUCAGAAUCUCCAUUUUCAUCUGCCAAUGAUUUUUCAACAAUAUCAGCUGCAACAAGAAUAUUUUUAACCUCGACAUUAUCGCUGUGUUUUCCUUUCUUUUUCUUCUUACGACGUUUACUUCUGUCAUUAUUGGCUAAAGGAGCAGUGGAUACAUCAUCCUCAGAAGGAAUUACAAGAUCAACGUCUUCUUGAAAAUCAAUGGUACCCAAACUCUCAGGGAGACUGGAUAUUUUCUGAGGUAAGGACGCAAUAGUUCUAAAACCAGGUGUCUCGAGAUCAUUUGACUGAGCUUUAGCAUCAAGAGGUGACGUCAAAACCAGUUCUAUACUAUUUUCAUUCAUAGCAGAUUCUUCGGCGACAGGUAUCACUUGCUCUUUUUCAAGAGGAAAUUCAGAAGUAGGUGUUUCUAAUAGCCUGCAAAUCUCUUUAUUGACCUUUUCUGAAACAGCAAGAGCAUUUUUAGUUUCAAGAGAAAAAACAGUUAUUGUGUCGGAUUUGUUUUUCAUGGGAAUAUCAGAAUCUCCAUUUUCAUCUGCCAAUGAUUUUUCAACAUUAUCAGCUGCAACAAGAAUAUUUUUAACCUCGACAUUAUCGCUGUGUUUUCCUUUCUUUUUCUUCUUACGACGUUUACUUCUGUCAUUAUUGACUAAAGGAGCGGUGGAUACAUCAUCCUCAGAAGGAAUUACAAGAUCAACGUCUUCUUGAAAACCAAUGGUACCCAAACUCUCAGGGAGACUGGAUAUUUUCUGAGGUAAGGACGCAAUAGUUCUAAAACCAGGUGUCUCGAGAUCAUUUGACUGAGCUUUAGCAUCAAGAGGUGACGUCAAAACCAGUUUUAUACUAUUUUCAUUCAUAGCAGAUUCUUCGGCGACAGGUAUCACUUGCUCUUUCUCAAGAGGAAAUUCAGAAGUAG
rnacentral:lncRNA from 1 species